GAGGAAUAUUGGUCAAUGGACGAGAGUCUGAACCAGCCAAGUAGCGUGAAGGAUGACUGCCCUAUGGGUUGUAAACUUCUUUUAUACGGGAAUAAAGUUAGCCACGUGUGGCUUUUUGUAUGUACCGUAUGAAUAAGGAUCGGCUAACUCCGUGCCAGCAGCCGCGGUAAUACGGAGGAUCCGAGCGUUAUCCGGAUUUAUUGGGUUUAAAGGGAGCGUAGGCGGGUUGUUAAGUCAGUUGUGAAAGUUUGCGGCUCAACCGUAAAAUUGCAGUUGAUACUGGCGACCUUGAGUGCAACAGAGGUAGGCGGAAUUCGUGGUGUAGCGGUGAAAUGCUUAGAUAUCACGAAGAACUCCGAUUGCGAAGGCAGCUUACUGGAUUGUAACUGACGCUGAUGCUCGAAAGUGUGGGUAUCAAACAGGAUUAGAUACCCUGGUAGUCCACACAGUAAACGAUGAAUACUCGCUGUUGGCGAUAUACGGUCAGCGGCCAAGCGAAAGCAUUAAGUAUUCCACCUGGGGAGUACGCCGGCAACGGUGAAACUCAAAGGAAUUGACGGGGGCCCGCACAAGCGGAGGAACAUGUGGUUUAAUUCGAUGAUACGCGAGGAACCUUACCCGGGCUUAAAUUGCAACUGACUGAACCGGAGACGGUUCUUUCUUCGGACAGUUGUGAAGGUGCUGCAUGGUUGUCGUCAGCUCGUGCCGUGAGGUGUCGGCUUAAGUGCCAUAACGAGCGCAACCCUUAUCGAUAGUUACUAGCAGGUCAUGCUGAGGACUCUAUUGAGACUGCCGUCGUAAGAUGUGAGGAAGGUGGGGAUGACGUCAAAUCAGCACGGCCCUUACGUCCGGGGCUACACACGUGUUACAAUGGGGGGUACAGAAGGCAGCUACACGGCGACGUGGUGCUAAUCCCGAAAGCCUCUCUCAGUUCGGAUUGGAGUCUGCAACCCGACUCCAUGAAGCUGGAUUCGCUAGUAAUCGCGCAUCAGCCACGGCGCGGUGAAUACGUUCCCG
rnacentral:rRNA from 1 species